GACGAACGCUGGCGGCGUGCCUAAUACAUGCAAGUAGAACGCACAGUUUAUACCGUAGCUUGCUACACCAUAGACUGUGAGUUGCGAACGGGUGAGUAACGCGUAGGUAACCUGCCUGGUAGCGGGGGAUAACUAUUGGAAACGAUAGCUAAUACCGCAUAAUAUUAAUUAUUGCAUGAUAAUUGAUUGAAAGAUGCAACUGCAUCACUACCAGAUGGACCUGCGUUGUAUUAGCUAGUAGGUGAGGUAACGGCUCACCUAGGCGACGAUACAUAGCCGACCUGAGAGGGUGAUCGGCCACACUGGGACUGAGACACGGCCCAGACUCCUACGGGAGGCAGCAGUAGGGAAUCUUCGGCAAUGGACGGAAGUCUGACCGAGCAACGCCGCGUGAGUGAAGAAGGUUUUCGGAUCGUAAAGCUCUGUUGUAAGAGAAGAACGAGUGUGAGAGUGGAAAGUUCACACUGUGACGGUAUCUACCAGAAA
rnacentral:rRNA from 1 species